GUGCUCGCUUCAGCAGCACAUACACUAAAAUUGGAACGAUACAGAGAAGAUUAGCAUGGCGCCUGCACAAGGAUGACAGGUAAAUCCAUGAAGCGUUCCAUAUUUAA